rnacentral:tRNA from 1 species
GGUUGGAUAGUAUAGUUGGUUAGUACACACGGUUCUGAUCCGUGGGACCUGGGUUCGAAUCCCUGUCCGACCU